GGAAAACUUACCAGGUCCGGACAUAGUAAGGAUUGACAGAUUGAAGAUCUUUCUUGAUUCUAUGGGUGGUGGUGCAUGGCCGUUUUUAGUUGGUGGAGUGAUUUGUCUGGUUAAUUCCGAUAACGAACGAGACCUCAGCCUGCUAAUUAGCCGGGACUAUUGCGUUUGUGAUAGUUUCCGCGUUACUUCUUAGAGGGACUAUGCGUGCGUAGCGCAUGGAAGUUUGAGGCAACAA
rnacentral:rRNA from 1 species